UACGAAGGGGGCUAGCGUUGCUCGGAAUCACUGGGCGUAAAGCGCACGUAGGCGGUUUCUUAAGUCAGGGGUGAAAUCCUGGAGCUCAACUCCAGAACUGCCUUUGAUACUGGGAGACUUGAGUCCGGGAGAGGUGAGUGGAACUGCGAGUGUAGAGGUGAAAUUCGUAGAUAUUCGCAAGAACACCAGUGGCGAAGGCGGCUCACUGGCCCGGUACUGACGCUGAGGUGCGAAAGCGUGGGGAGCGAACAGG
rnacentral:rRNA from 1 species